rnacentral:snoRNA from 1 species
GGCAGAUGAUGUCUGUUUUCACCAUGGUCUUCGAUGUCUACCACAGGCACUGCCGAAACAGCCACUUGAUAAAGCUGAUGUCAGAAG